rnacentral:rRNA from 1 species
GACAGAGGGUGCAAACGUUGUUCGGAAUUACUGGGCGUAAAGCGCGUGUAGGCUGCUUGGAAAGUCGGAUGUGAAAGCCCUGGGCUCAACCCAGGAAGUGCAUUCGAAACUUCCGAGCUCGAGUUCUGGAGAGGAUAGCGGAAUUCUCGGUGUAGAGGUGAAAUUCGUAGAUAUCGAGAGGAACACCGGUGGCGAAGGCGGCUAUCUGGACAGAAACUGACGCUGAGACGCGAAAGCGUGGGGAGCGAACAGG